GAUGAACGCUGGCGGCGUGCCUAAUACAUGCAAGUCGAGCGAACAGAUAAGGAGCUUGCUCCUUUGACGUUAGCGGCGGACGGGUGAGUAACACGUGGGUAACCUACCUAUAAGACUGGGAUAACUUCGGGAAACCGGAGCUAAUACCGGAUAACAUUUGGAACCGCAUGGUUCUAAAGUGAAAGAUGGCUUUGCUAUCACUUAUAGAUGGACCCGCGCCGUAUUAGCUAGUUGGUAAGGUAACGGCUUACCAAGGCGACGAUACGUAGCCGACCUGAGAGGGUGAUCGGCCACACUGGAACUGAGACACGGUCCAGACUCCUACGGGAGGCAGCAGUAGGGAAUCUUCCGCAAUGGGCGAAAGCCUGACGGAGCAACGCCGCGUGAGUGAUGAAGGGUUUCGGCUCGUAAAACUCUGUUAUUAGGGAAGAACAAAUGUGUAAGUAACUGUGCACGUCUUGACGGUACCUAAUCAGAAAGCCACGGCUAACUACGUG
rnacentral:rRNA from 1 species